rnacentral:ncRNA from 1 species
UCGGGAAGCGCACAGCCGCAAAUCUGACUGUGUCACCCGAUUCGUCGUGGUGACUCGAGAUUGCGGACGUGC